rnacentral:lncRNA from 1 species
GAAAUCUUACCCUUACUCUCGGCCCCCUUUUUUUAACAAAAUUUCUUUCACCAAUAUUACUUCAAAUUUCUCCCAAAAACCAGUGAAUGUAUUCAUACAUGUCAUGAUUAAAACAUUAAAAGUUAACGAGCCAAAAGGUGCAAGUUUGCAGCCAACAUUUUAGAGCUAAAUUUAAAAAAAUUGUUGCUACAUACUCUCGGGUUUCAAGCAAGAAAAUCCAGCGAUAUCAUUCUAUUUUUCCUUAUAGCGUUUAGAUUUAUAACACCAAAACAAAUACCAAACAAGGCUGUAAAUAUCAUACUAAACCAAGGU